rnacentral:rRNA from 1 species
UACGAAGGGGGCUAGCGUUGCUCGGAAUCACUGGGCGUAAAGGGUGCGUAGGCGGGUCUUUAAGUCAGAGGUGAAAUCCUGGAGCUCAACUCCAGAACUGCCUUUGAUACUGGGGAUCUCGAGUCCGGGAGAGGUGAGUGGAACUGCGAGUGUAGAGGUGAAAUUCGUAGAUAUUCGCAAGAACACCAGUGGCGAAGGCGGCUCACUGGCCCGGUACUGACGCUGAGGCACGAAAGCGUGGGGAGCAAACAGG